CAGGUCUUGCCUCUCGGUUAAAGUGCAGUUGGCCAUUUUCCCAUUUCUAACUUCUCCUCUUGGAUUUGAAAGGAUUGUAAUGAGGAAGGCAGCUCAGGAGGCCUCGAAUUUCUGUUUCAUUGUUUCCCCUAUUCAGUAUCUCCAUUCUGCUGUCCCCAUAGGAGCUGAUGUUUCACAAAUCUCUGCGUUUGCCCAUGAGGCAUCAGUUUAUCUCUCCAGAAAGUGGGAAGAAGGUGACUUCUCCUUACCUUCUCUCGGGUGCAAUCGGCGCAGAGGGAACAGAGAAGCUGGGACAGCAUGGCAUUUCUCAAGAGAAAGGCCCUGUGGAAAUAAUAAAAUGUUACCAUUUCUGUAGUCCUCUUGACAGCUGACUAAAGAGGAACCAAAGAGUCAAAAAUAGCUGAUUCGGUCUCGCCCAGGAAGUUCAUCCCCCACCAGGACUUCCUCCUGUCGUCUCCAGGCAUCACAGCAGCUCUGACCUCUAACCUGGCCUGGGCCUUUCAUAUCCCCUCAGGCUGCAGAAAGCUUCUCUCAACCACUCUGGGCACCAGGAGCACGUCCCCUUCAGGGAUGUUCGGAUGAAGAAGGUGAAGGUUCCAUCUUUCUUGUCAAGAGGGCCAGGGCCUCAGAGAAGUAUUAGAAAGCCUGCAGCAUUCAUCUCAAGGCUCCCAGAAAAGUGAAACUUCCAUCACACUAAAGCCACCUACAUUUGGAGUUUGGGGGUCAUUCAAACAGAGCCUGCACUGAAAUUUCAUUUUGCCCGAGCAGUAAGGGUUUGCUGAGCAAAUGAAUGCUAAAGUGUAAACAAGGCUUCUCAAGUCUGCCUAAGAGCCUGCAAAGGACGACCUGCUCACAGGGCUUGGAAGCAAUCCUUUUUCAUGCUAAUUACAAACCCAUUCGGUAUUUGUGAAAUCGGGCCCUCUGGGAUUUCUAUUUGCCAACAAGUUGUUUAUUUCCAGUGUAAAGGGGGUGGAGGGUCUAUGAAUUAUUGAGCAGCUACAAUGCCUUUGCCUGCACUCAGUGAGAGAUGGUCUAUCUUUAUCUUCACAGGCAUCCUUGGAGCCAAGCUUUGCCCCAUCCACACCUGUGGAAUGGAGAUGUAGCCCCAAGGUGCAGAGCUGGUAAGUAACGAAGCUGGGAUUCGAACCUAGGUGAGCCUAAUCUCCAGAACCAGAACCGGUGUGCCUCACCCACCCCACCCCAGCAUCACCACCUUUUGAACCCGUGUUAGGUCUGCUUUUUUCCAAAAUAUAGUCCCAAAGUCAGUCUUCCCAAUAUUUCAGAAUGGCCCCUAAUUAGCCCAAAUUAGCCAGCUUUUGUAAACUCUGCCUUCAUCCCAGUAAUGAGGCAAAAGAGGCAUUCGUCCAAGAAACAAGCUGUCAAAGGAGAGAGAGGUUGCCAGAGGUUGUGGCAGGUCUGGGCUUACAAAUCCGAGUCUGUGGUGCUUCCUGAGACCUAGGGCUCUGAGAGGAGACAAGGUGGAAAAUCACUCCCUCUUAGUUACAUCUAUUUUCUUGUGGAAAGAUGUUUCCACCACCCGCGGAGAGACGCCUCUGGCCUUAGAGCAGCGCUGGUGCAGGUCAUCCUCUGGCGGCGCAGACUGGUUGGGUGAGGAGCUUGCCUGAGAAGUGCAAGAAAGAGACUGGCAUGCUGGGUGGGGAGAUUUAACCUUUUGCAUCCUUUUCCUGCACUGCUGUCCCUGUCAGCUAAGGUCAGAAAAACUAACAAAAGGCCAGGAGAUAACUCCACAGUUCUCAGCCGUUAUCACAAAGCUCUACCCUCCCCAGCCUGAGCCCAUUUCUACGAGUCACAUCCUAACGUUCCAACUUAGACUGAUUUUUAAAGCUUACACAAAACACGGUUUAGUGCAGUUAGAGAACUGGGGCUCUUGACCCCGAAAUGAAACAGGUGUUGACUUUCAGAACGCUGGUCAUGACACCGGAGACUUGAAAUAGCAGAAGCAAGUUCAAACUCUUCGAAGGUACAGUACUCAACUGUAUAUAUAGCUUCUGGGCCAAGAGCUGCCCAACAGCACAUAACGCAGGAUACAAAACAAGUUUCAAACAAUUAUAAGGCACUAUAUAUAAAUCAAGCCUUUAAAAUAUUUAUUAAUGUUGAAUUUUUAAUUGCCAAAAAAUACUUGCAGGAAAGCAUCGCUAUGACUCUUAUUACCCUUAGGAUUGGCUGUUUGGAUGCCCAUAAUCUUAACUGCUUGCACACCCAUUGGUACCCUUUCAGCUGAGGAGCCUUUCAGUCUCAGCUUCAAGUGCAGAGGAAGUGCAAACAGCCUCUGCACUUCAGAGCUGAGCUUGCUUUGCUAGGAGACGGUUGAGCGCAAUCCCAGCACGCGCUGAUUCAUUCUGCCUGGUGAUUGGUGGGGCUCCUGGCCGCUGACGUCAUCCUGUUGCUGGGUGGAAAACUUCUGCGGCACAGCCCUGACUUCAGAGGCUGUGAAGGGGACCGUGUACCCAGCAGAGAAAUCAGAUAACAGCUCAAAUGGAAUUAGAUCUCCUUUUUGUGUGACCGUUUCAGUCACCUUCCGCCUCUUAAAUUAUAGCGUGUUUCCCCCUCCCCCGUAAUCUAGCAACCCCUUUCGUGUGGCACAGGCUCCACCAGGUCACCCUACCCCCAGCAUCCUCUAGAGCACCGUUUUCCUUUGAGGGUGGAUGGAAGGUGUGUUGAGAGUGGCUUUCUGACUGGUUUACGUUUCCCUUCCUCAACAGAAUUGAAAUAGGUCCUUACUUGCUAUGAUUGAUUGUGCAGUAGGGCUUUGGACCUUCUGGAAUAAACCCUUUCUAACGCUCAUUUAUUCUCCCAGUAUUCUGGGAGGCACAGAUGAUCAGCGGAAGUGAAGGCAAACUUGUCUAUUGCUCUUUACAGUCUGCAAAGCACUUUUUAUGUACCCGGUCUCCUUUGUCCCUCGUAGCCAUCCUAUGAACGAGGUACUAUUACUUCCCUCAUGUUAUAGGUUAGGAAUCACGCCUCCAAAUAUCAAAUUCUCUGCCAUCCACACAGGUCAUAAAUGACAAGUUAGGGACUCAAACCGAGGUUUUUUGACCCUCAUUUCUGACUUUUUCCCCACUUGGACAAUCCUCUUUCAGUCUGAGAAGGUAAGUGGUUUGCGAGAGCAGAGUAAGGAGCUAAACGAGGGCCAGGAGCCAGCAGUCCCCACUCUUCAUCCAGGGCCUUUGCUUCUCAACCUCUUGUUAGCUCCCAAAAGGUUUUCUUUAGAGAUGUUCUUAGAUACACAUGUAUUUUAAAAAUCUCUAGGCUUUCUCGAGCUUUUAUGUAUCAAGUGCAGCUUUGGGGGAGGGGCAUAGAAGCCUAAUAAUUUAGAUGCACAUUUGCAUACAUUACAUAAGGCUUCUAUAAGGGGUAAGAUUGCCUAGUUGCUGGCUUAUUUUAACUUUUAAUAGAAUGACAUUGACGGAGCAGAAAUAGCAGGCUUAGUACCCAGCUCCGGGGCUUGGAUGUCAGAGACAUUUCUGCGGCGGCAAGUGGGGCUCCUCCUCAUCUCGGGGGAGACGCUGGAUCGCUCUUGUCCAUCUCCAGCUGGGAUGAUGAACUGCCCUUGGCUUGGCUUUCAUCCCGCCUGACACAGCUUUCGCUUUCAUCCCAUUCCUUGCUCCAAACCCUUCCUCUUCCACUUUUAAUACCCAGUUGAACUUGCUCAGCUUCCCUCAGUUACUUUUCCAUGAGCAGAGCAAAAACAACACGGAGCCCCUCCACGAAGCCGCCGCACAUCUGGUUUGCUCGGGUGAAGACAAUUCUCCCUCACCCGUCCUUCUUUUCCGAUGAGACAGAGAAUCCUUCCACAAAGGCUGACAAGACAGAAAUGUUGGAGGAGGGAGUGUGUGGGAGUGAGGGGCACCGUUGAUUCAGAUGUGGAAGUGUAGGAUUUUAUUUCCUCUCUCAAUUUUUGCUACUGCAGCCUCCAAACACCUAGCACUAGGACUUAGGACUUACUUGGCAGAUAUCACAUAUUUUGUGGGUUUCUAUCAUUUUCUCAAUUGUUGCCUUUGUUCCCUUUGGGGACAUUGUUGGGCUGUGUGUCCCCGUCCAGCCUCCUGUCUCUUGCUCCCUGUGUGUGACUCAUGCUUACAGGUUACUCUUAAUUUCAGCAAAAUGCCCUCUCUGAAACCAGCUUUGUUUCACACUGGUCAGAUGCUCCCGCUUCCACGGCCUGUGGAGGUACAAAGUUAGUGAUUUUUGCCUGUGUUGUUUCAAGGUAAAAAAUAAUUUUUCAUAUUGAAAAUUAGAAUCUCUGUCUCAUGGGUGAACCUAGACAGAUGCUACAUCCAGUUCUCUCCUCUCUGUUCAGUGGACACACCACACCUUUGCUCCUGCUGUCCUUGUGCCUGAAACAUAUAUCUUUAAAGAUGCACAGCUGAGACUCAAUAAAUAUUUGGGGAAAAGAAAAUCUAUGGCCACAGAGCUAUGCUCUCAUUUAAAGCAAAAAUGAGAUCCCAACCUCGCUUCAUUAUUAAAUAAAUAUUUUAUUGAUGAAAAUAUGUUAAUGUAAGUUAAGAAUUUUGUAUACUAUCCAUCCAAUUCCAGAACUUUGGACGUGAAGGUCCUCUCCUGGGAUCCCAGGAGUUUGAAUCACCCUCCCCCGACUCGACCCAUCACUCUCCAUUGGGAGAAUCAUUCUGCCCAGAAAGUGACAGAGCAAAUUGGGUCCACAGGUGUACCUAAUAUUCUAAGCCAGAUGAUCUCAAAGGGCACAGCAUGCUAAGUUUUUGGCCCUUUCCAGAUUUUGUGUGCUGGGUUAAGAGUCUGGGCUCUGGAAUCAGACCUCACUCAACUCUCAGCUUUGCAACACACCAGGAGACUGAUGGGGCAGAGGGAUGGAAAUCAACAUAAAUGUGUAGGCAAAUGAGGUACCGCUUCACACAGGUCAGAAUGGCCAUCGCUAAAAGUCUACAAAUAACCAAUGCUGGAGAGGGCGUGGAGAAAAGGGAACCCUCGUACACUGUUGGCGGGAAACCUCCUACAUGGCUCUUAUGAAAGACAGUGUGAAGUUUCCUCAGAAAACUAAGAGAGAACUACCACAUGAUCCAGCAAUCCCAUCCCUGGGCAUCUAUCCAGACAAAACUAUAUUUCGAAAAGAUACAUACAGCCUUAUGUUCAUAGUGGCACUCUUCACAAUAGCCAAGACAAGAAAACAACCUAAAUGUCUAUUAACAGUUGGAUGAGGAGUUCCCGUCAUGGCUCAGUAGUUAAUGAACCCAACCAGUAUCCAUGAGGAUGCAGGUUUGAUCCCUGGCCUCGCUCAGUGGGUUAAGGAUCCGGCAUUGCCAUGAGCUGUGGUGUAGAUUGCAGUCAUGGCUGGAAUCCCGAGUUGCUGUAGCUGUGGUGUAGGCCGGCAGCUACAGCUCUGAUUAGACCCCAGCCUGGGAACCUCCAUAUGCCU
rnacentral:lncRNA from 1 species